rnacentral:rRNA from 1 species
CCCUUAGAUGUCCUGGGCUGCACGCGCGCUACACUGGAAGUUACGGAUUGAGAUACUACCUUGUCCGAAAUGGUCCGGGUAAUCACCUAAAAGCUUGUCAUAAUUGGAAUGGAUUAUUGUAACUAGUAAUCCUGAACGAGGAAUUCCUAGUAAGUCCCAGUCAACAACUGGUACUGAUUACGUCCCUGCCCUUUGUACACACCGCCCGUCGCUACUACUGAUUGGACGUUUAAGCAAGAUUUUUAAACACUGACAGUGUGUAGUUCACGCUAUACUACAGUGAGAAGAAGAAGAUCGAGCUUACUUGUCUAGAGGAAGUAAAAGUCGUAACA